GGUUUUAUGGUGUAACGGUUAGCACUCCAGACUCUGAAUUUGGCGAUCUGGGUUCAAAUCCCGGUAAAACCU
rnacentral:tRNA from 1 species